GUGCUCGCUUCGGCAGCACAUAUACUAAAAUUGGAAUGAUGCAGAGAAGAUUGGCAUGGCCCCUGUGCAAGGAUGACAUGCAAUUUCGUGAAGCAUUCCUUAUUUUU
ensembl:snRNA U6 U6 spliceosomal RNA